CCACUAUGCUCAGCCCUAAACAUAGAUUUUAUUUAAUAUCCGCCCGGGUACUACGUAACGUAAGUUUGAAACCCAAAGGACUUGGCGGCGCUUAACAUCCACCUAGAGGAGCCUGUUCUAUAACCGAUAACCCCCGUUAAACCUCACCCUCUCUGGCCUUAAGCCGCCUAUAUACCACCGUCGCCAGCUUACCCUGUAAAGGCCCCACAGUAAACAAAAUUAGCAUUGCUCAGAACGUCAGGUCGAGGUGUAGCACAUGAGAGGGGAAGAAAUGGGCUACAUUCGCUACUCCUUAGCGAACACGAAUAACCGCGUUGAAAAAGCGUAUCUGAAGGAGGAUUUAGAAGUAAGCAAAAAACAGAGUGUUUUGCUGAAACUUGGCACUAAAGCGCGCACAUACCGCCCGUCACUCUCUCCAAUAUUUCACACCCCCCCCCCCUUAACCCUUAGUAAAUAUAAACUACCCCCUCCCCCUCCCGACUGAGGAGAGGAAA
rnacentral:rRNA from 1 species